CGUAGGGUGCGAGCGUUAAUCAGAAUUACUGGGCGGUAAAGACGUGCGCAGGCGGUUUUGUUAAGACAGAUGUGAAAUACCCCGGGCCUCAACCUGGGACCUGCAUUUGUUGACUGCAAGGCUAGAGUACGGUAGAGGGGGAGUGGAAUUCCGCGUGUAGCAGUGAAAUGCGUAGAUAUGCGGAGGAACACCGAUGGCGAAGGCAAUCCCCUGGACCUGUACUGACGCUCAUGCACGAAAGCGUGGGGAGGCAAACAGGAUUAGAUACCCUGGUAGUCCACGCCCUAAACGAUGUCAACUGGUUGUUGGGUCUUUACUGACUCAGUAACGAAGCUAACGCGUGAAGUUGACCGCCUGGGGAGUACGGCCGCAAGGUUG
rnacentral:rRNA from 1 species